AUGAACGCUGGCGGCGUGCCUAAUACAUGCAAGUCGAGCGAACAGACGAGGAGCUUGCUCCUCUGACGUUAGCGGCGGACGGGUGAGUAACACGUGGAUAACCUACCUAUAAGACUGGGAUAACUUCGGGAAACCGGAGCUAAUACCGGAUAAUAUAUUGAACCGCAUGGUUCAAUAGUGAAAGACGGUUUUGCUGUCACUUAUAGAUGGAUCCGCGCCGCAUUAGCUAGUUGGUAAGGUAACGGCUUACCAAGGCAACGAUGCGUAGCCGACCUGAGAGGGUGAUCGGCCACACUGGAACUGAGACACGGUCCAGACUCCUACGGGAGGCAGCAGUAGGGAAUCUUCCGCAAUGGGCGAAAGCUUGACGGAGCAACGCCGCGUGAGUGAUGAAGGUCUUCGGAUCGUAAAACUCUGUUAUUAGGGAAGAACAAAUGUGUAAGUAACAAUGCACGUCUUGACGGUACCUAAUCAGAAAGCCACGGCUAACUACGUG
rnacentral:rRNA from 1 species